rnacentral:tRNA from 1 species
GGUAGAAUCGCGCUAUAGAGUUUAAUAGGCAGUAGAUUGUAAAUCUAUGUACGAGGGAUACCUCUUCUUCCA